rnacentral:rRNA from 1 species
AUUGAACGCUGGCGGUAGGCCUAACACAUGCAAGUCGAACGGCAGCACAGUGAUAGCUUGCGCUUACAGGUGCCGAGUGGCGAGCGGUUGAUAAAUACAUCCGUAGCUACUGUGUAUUAGGUGAUAACGUAGGGGAUCUUACCCUAUUAGCCCUGACGGCCUACGUGGGAAAUCAUCGGAUCUUCCGCUCUCACGCGAGUCUAUGACCCGAUGGCGGAUUAGCUAGUUGGCGGGGUAAAGGCCCACCAAGGCGACGAUCCGUAGCUGGUCUGAGAGGAUGAUCAGCCACACUGGAACUGAGACACGGUCCAGACUCCUACGGGAGGCAGCAGUGGGGAAUAUUGGACAAUGGGCGCAAGCCUGAUCCAGCCAUGCCGCGUGGGUGAAGAAGGUCUUCGGGUUGUAAAGCACUUUUGUUGGGAAAGAAAAGCAGCAGGUUAAUACCUUGCUGUUUUGACGGUACCAACAGAAUAAGCACCGGCUAACUUCGUG